UUACACCUUGAAAGUGGUAAUUUUAGAUACUGAAUUUUAAGAAAUUUGAAGUUGUUUUUGCGUUUCUAUCCUGUGAAAUUGACGUUGGACUUUGCUAUUUGUUUUUCAGAGGAACGUAAGAAAAAGUUCGAGGAACUUAAGAAAAAGUUCGUGCAGACUGAACAUGAAAAAGAGGAGCGUAAGAAAAAGUUCAGUAAGUUUCUGACCCUCUACUUCGAUAGGUCUUUAGAAUGACUGGUUUCUUGGCCUCUUGGAGAUUCGCUGAGGUUUUAUCUCUAAACCAUCCAUUUGCACUGACUUCUACUCGGUGUUGACUGUUACCAGCCAAACUGGAUGGUGUUGGGCUUCUUUCAUUUAAGGUCUGUCAGUUUCGUUCCUCUUCCCUCCAUCCAAUUCCAUUCCUGUUAUAUGCAUUUCAUCCCAUAUCGUCCCUGGAAACAGUGGCUUCUUCUGUC
rnacentral:lncRNA from 1 species